AACAGAGAAAGAAAUACAUUUCAAACGAACUUUUUAUACUUUCAGCUUUUAGAAAGGGACUAAAUAACGAGGUUUAAUACACCAUGAGUCUUCUUUCGCUACUGCUCUGCGUCUCUCAUUCUGCUGCUAUACACCCGAAUAUUACUACGGCGCGUCACCCGGCAUCAAACGUCGAAUCGGUUUGGUUUUACCCCGGUGCUGCUGGUGCUUGGUGCAUAUAACUGCAACUGCAACCGUACGAGUUCUUCAUCUUUGUACAAACGCGGUUCUCUGCCUAUGCCGUUCGUUCGGUUGCCUUUGCCGUCAUUUUUUUUCUUCUUCUAGUCCUAUUUGCUCAUGAACGAUUGCUUCAUCGGGUUUGCGUAUGUAUAUAAUUUACGAAUACCUAGUAUGUUUUCGCCUUCAAUAGUGUACAUAGCAUUCCGCUGUCUUCUCUAUAUGUCUCUAUGUAGCGUAGCGUAUUUUGCUCGACGAUGCGCUCGUAGUCUAUUUUUAUUUUGCAGCAGUUUCUAGUCGCUGUGGUCGUCUUCGUCGUCGUUGCCGUUGCCGUCAUCGUUGCAUACGUACUUCCACUAAAAAUAUCGACAGAAAUCGAUUUAUCAUCUUCGAUUUACACAGCCAGUUUGCUUUUCCUGCGCAGGUAAGUAAUACAUCAUUUUCUAGUAUUUUUAGUAGGUAUUAUUCUAAGAUGUAUCUGGUUUUGAAAAAAUAAAAUUCGUCGAUACCAAA